rnacentral:rRNA from 1 species
UACGAAGGGGGCUAGCGUUGCUCGGAAUCACUGGGCGUAAAGGGUGCGUAGGCGGGUCUUUUAAGUCAGGGGUGAAAUCCUGGAGCUCAACUCCAGAACUGCCUUUGAUACUGAAGAUCUUGAGUUCGGGAGAGGUGAGUGGAACUGCGAGUGUAGAGGUGAAAUUCGUAGAUAUUCGGAAGAACACCAGUGGCGAAGGCGACUCACUGGACACAUAUUGACGCUGAGGUGCGAAAGCGUGGGGAGCAAACAGGG